GCCGGGGAGGUGUUCGGGGCCAUCACCGCCCGGCUGAAGGCCAGGCCGGGCAGCUGGGCCGGAAUCGGGUGGCGGAUCGCCCCCGACGUCCAGCUC
rnacentral:tRNA from 1 species